UACGGAGGGUGCAAGCGUUGUUCGGAAUCAUUGGGCGUAAAGCGCGUGUAGGCGGCUUGGCAAGUCGGGUGUGAAAUCCCCAGGCUUAACCUGGGAACUGCAUUCGAGACUGCAUUGCUAGAGUAUGGGAGAGGGAAGUGGAAUUUCCGGUGUAGCGGUGAAAUGCGUAGAUAUCGGAAGGAACAUCAGUGGCGAAGGCGACUUCCUGGACCAAUACUGACGCUCAGGUGCGAAAGCGUGGGGAGCAAACAGG
rnacentral:rRNA from 1 species